rnacentral:rRNA from 1 species
GAUGAACGCUGGCGGCGUGCCUAAUACAUGCAAGUCGAGCGAACAGACGAGGAGCUUGCUCCUCUGACGUUAGCGGCGGACGGGUGAGUAACACGUGGAUAACCUACCUAUAAGACUGGGAUAACUUCGGGAAACCGGGGCUAAUACCGGAUAAUAUAUUGAACCGCAUGGUUCAAUAGUGAAAGACGGUUUUGCUGUCACUUAUAGAUGGAUCCGCGCCGCAUUAGCUAGUUGGUAAGGUAACGGCUUACCAAGGCAACGAUGCGUAGCCGACCUGAGAGGGUGAUCGGCCACACUGGAACUGAGACACGGUCCAGACUCCUACGGGAGGCAGCAGUAGGGAAUCUUCCGCAAUGGGCGAAAGCCUGACGGAGCAACGCCGCGUGAGUGAUGAAGGUCUUCGGAUCGUAAAACUCUGUUAUUAGGGAAGAACAAAUGUGUAAGUAGCUAUGCACGUCUUGACGGUACCUAAUCAGAAAGCCACGGCUAACUACGUG